AGGUGUUUCAAGAGAGAGAGUUUCCUCCUGAGAGUUUAUAACCUAAUAUGUAAAUAUUACAACGCUCAUACCUUUCAAUGUUGUCAUGUAUAUUUAAUACAACAUACAAUAUAAUAUCCUGACAAAGAGUAUAAAUACAUCAAAUAAUUAUCGCAGCAAGAGAAUUCGAAUUCAAACUUCUGAUAAAAACCGCCUAAUAGAAGAUUCUCAGGUAACUUAUAAGAGUCACGCAGCCAGCAUAGGAUGAGUGGCGAGGCAGCACUCCAAAAAUACACUCAAAGACCUAUGACUUUGAGACGGUCGUAAAACAUUAUUGCAUGGCAUAUCAGCAACAAGAUUAAAUUACGACAAUCCUGAACACAGCCACCAAGAUCACUACCAUCAGUUCACCGUCAUAUAUAUUAUAUGUAGCGAAGCAGCGCACUAAGAAUACUCUUGAGGACCUAUGGCUUCAUCAGGAGAGCAAUACCGCAUGAUCCAUGACAAACAGGAUUACAAAUGAUCCUGGACACAGCCAUCGAAUAAACCUCCAUUAACAGAUUCACUGUCAAGUACAGACAAGAAACAAAAUCAAGAUGAGCCAAAUAACUGUCUAAGUCAAGGAAGGAAUUCAUUUCUCAUCAAAAACUACUUCAAAAAGAUCCCUGGAUAACUCAUAGGAAUCACACGACCAGUGUCAGUUAAGUAGUUAUAAUAUAGUAAUAAUAUAACAAAUUAUAUUAUCAUUUGUUACUUAUGUCACUCCGUAUAUUAACAAAUCACACUUAAAAUACACUUAGAGACCUAUGGCUACAAGGCGAUCGAGAAGUCACUACCGCAUAACAAACAGCAGGACUACCUUGCAACAAUCUUCAACGCAACCAUCGUAUAGACCACCGUCUUCAGUUCACUGUCAUAUAUGGUCCAAAUCAAAGUCAGUAAAUGCACCAGACAACUGUCACGACAAAAGGAUUUGAACAUCUGAUCAGGAACCACUUCAUCAAGAGAUUCACAGACAAUUCAUCAAAAUUAUAUGUAUAAUAAUAACGUAGCAGCACACCAAAACAAAUGCAUUCAGAGUCCCAUGGCUUCAAGACAAUCAAAACAGCAUCAUCGCAUGGCAUAUUGGCAGCAAGACCUCACUUCAAUCCUGGACGCAUUUAUCGAGAAGUCUGUCUGUCAUCAGUUUGCCAUCGUAAGUAUGUGAGCAUUAGUACACGAUUCACUUAU